rnacentral:rRNA from 1 species
AUGCCGAAGAGUUCCUUCUUCUGCUCACCGAAGAGGCUGUCUCACAGGGCUUUGGAGCUUGAGGUCAUGCCAUGUGUCCUGCAAAGAGGAGAUGGAGAGCGGAGGUGUGCCUCUUAUAAAAGGAUAGAGAAUGGGGACUGCGCACUGCACCUAUACAUUGCAACACUAAAGCUAGCUUUGAGAAGAGAAAAAAGCCAAGAGAAGAAGAAGAAGAUGGACAGUGGCGGUUCAUCCGGUGGAAACAACCAAGGCAAGAAAAAGGGCAAGAAACGUGUGCUGACCGCUGAAGAGCUGGAAAACCGGCAGCUUGAGAACGUGCAACCUACCUCUUGGGACGAUGAAUGGAUUGUAACACUGAACAUCACAGAUAAUGUGGUGGAGGAUGAAGACACUAGCAGCAUCGUGAGCAGUUUCUCGACAGACAGCCCCUUCUCGAUAGACGCCGAGGAGGAGACUGACAAGGAGGAGGCUGACAAUGAGGAGGAGGAGGAGGCUGACAAGGAGGAGGAGGAAGAAGAGGAGGAGGAGGAGGAGGAAGAGGCUGACGGAGACGGUGACAAGAAAAAGGAGGAGGAGGAUCAGACUGACGACGAUGAUGGCGACCAGACUGACGAUGGCAAUGGCGAGGACCUCAGCUAA